rnacentral:lncRNA from 1 species
AUAGUUAUAAAAAAUGCAUUUCGUUGCUCUUAGUGACCAUGCUAAAUUUCGAAAUUCCUGUUAGCCGUUUCAUGUUAGCGUUCAAAUUAAGGUACUUUACUUCAUUAAUUUAUUUUGUCAUUUGUUGGGUUUGUUCAUUCAUUAUGGAUUUUCUUCACAUUUAUAAGUAAAGUCUCCUUCAAAUGACCAUAUCAACUCUAUGAAUUGGCAUU